AAAAGACGGUCCCAGUUCGAAUUGAAGGCUGAAAUUCGCCUUCAUGAAGUCGGAAUUGCUAGUAAUGGCAGGUCAGCAUACUGCCGUGAAUACGUUCCCGGGCCUUGUACACACCGCCCGUCACACCAUGAGAGUUGGAGAUACCCGAAGCCUGUGAGCUAACUUUUAGAGGCAGCAGUCGAAGGUAGAAUCAAUGAUUGGGGUGAAGUCGUAACAAGGUAGC
rnacentral:rRNA from 1 species